ACUCCCUUGCCCCCAAAACCACCUCCGACCCUUCUUGUAAUUACACGGAUAUUGUGUGUAGGAACACCAAGACAAGUGGCAAUCACACGAUGUGCGCUCUCAGGGCACUGACUUGAAGUAUAAACAACCAUGCAGUUGUCUUCGUCUGGAAUUGCAAGAGCAGUCUGUGUCUCCAUAUAAAAAUAGUACUCAGAACCAAGUCUUACCUCAGCUGAGAGAAUCUUGUGAUCAGCUUCA
rnacentral:misc_RNA from 1 species